CCCUCUUUAAUUUCCGCCAAAUUUUGGACGGCCCGCUAAAAGAGACCCGCUUCUAUUUUAUUUUAUAAUUAAUAAAAUAAUAAAAACUAAUAAUAAUACACACACCAGAGAUUACGAGGAAGACAAACACCUUAUCACAAAAAGUUCCAAUCUCUCUCUCCCAAAAAGCAUUUAUCAGUUCGCCGGAGAUUACAAGGAAGACAAACCACCAUCGGCGGCACAGGUAAGCUACAUUUUUUUAUCACGAUUCCAACUGUAUUCUACCAUUUUUGUUUAUUUUCUUUAAGAUCUCUGUCAUUCCUUCUGUUUUCCACACUGCCUGCGCGCCGCUAGGCCUUCUGUUUUUCAUUUCUAGGGUUUCAUAGAAAAUGAAGUUGAGCUCUGUAUUUGUCGAAACAUCAAUUCUUUUGUCUCAAUUUAUUUAAUUUGAGGUCUUGCAACUCCAAUGUUGAAUUUUUGAGUGAUGUUAAUUACUAGUAAAGAGGGUUUGUGUUAUCUAUAUGGAGUUUAACUUUCUUGAAAGUUGACAAAACGUGGGUUAUAAAGAUACUGUGAUUUGUCCUAUAAAAAAAUAGUACAAGUAUUUAAUUUGGAAAUUUUUAAUCAUAAUUCAGAUUUCUGCAACUUUCAAGAUUCUUCAGGUAUUGCUUUUGUCACCAUCAGAAAGAGAUUAUGUGAUGUUACAUCAGAAAUGUAAUAUGGGCAUUAUUUGAUUUCAAAUUCUGAAGUUGCCUUUCUUAUUGGUACUAUAAGUUGUCAAUGAUAAGUGAUAUGCAAACAACUCUACAAUAUCUAGUCUCUUUAAGUGAGACCUUGUGACCAUUAGGCCAUUUCUUAUGCAGAGAAGAUUAGUCAAGAAUAAAUGAGACCUUGUGACCAUUAGGCCAUUUCUUAUGCAGAGAAGAUUAGUCAAGAUUAGUCUUCUGCUAUAUAAUAUUACUACUUUUCUCUAUAGGUAGAUUCUAAUGGAGAUGGUAGAAAUAUGUCUAAGCUUAUUGUUAGUUUCUGCUCUUUCAAAGUUUAUUCUACUAUAGAGUCAUGUCUGGAGUUAAAAUCAUUGCUCUUCUUAGUCUGAAUUGGCUGACAUAAAAAGGUGUGUGAUGAAUUAGUAUAUUUUGUCCGACUUCCGAAUUUAACAGGGUUCAGAGGAUUGACAUUUAUAUCAUUAUCUUGGUAUGCUGGUGGAGUAAAUUCUGUAUUCAGAGUUUAUUGUUCCAAUAUUUGCUACUAGGAAAACAGAAAGCAGGAAAUAUUGUAUAAUCAGACACAUAACUACAUGAAGUAUAAAUACAACCAUCGCUGCAUUUAACUUAUAGUAGUAGAUUAGUAUAUAAGAGUAGAGAUUUUUAAAAGCUCACAGUAAUGGAGGCUUUACCUAUUUUACAGUCGAACUUUGAGGAAUCAUGGUAAUCCAACUUUUCUUCAUAUAAAAAUUCAUAGGCUUACGCCAAUUAGUCUUCUUCAAACAAUGACCAAUAUAUUUAUAUAGUUAGUUCUUUUCAUUUUUAUCAAGAAUAAAGUAGUGGUCAAGGAUAUCUAUGCAACCCAUAAAAAAGAGAGGACAUCUAUGCUUGUGGGAUAAAAUCAAUAUUCUAUGGUACAUGGUGAAACUACAAUUGGAGGCAAUACUCUCUAAAUUAAUACCUUUUUUCAAUUUUGUAUUCUCUUGUCGAAUGAGGUUUACCUUUUUAUAGAGUUCUAUAUUUUCUUGAUGAAUAUGAUUGCCCUGCAGAAGCAAUAUUAAUUAUUUGGGUACCAAAAUUUAAAGAUAAGAGAAUAUGGGAAGUUGUGAUAGUUUUUCUAGUAGAACCUUCUGAUUUAGUUCUCCUUUUCUGUGUUUGUUGAUUUUUAUGCUAUAUACUGUAUUCUUUAGAUUCUUGGUCAUUUGUUGGAAAUUGAUGCCCGACUUAGUUAUCUCAUGCUUCUUUUGGCUAAGUCUCUGCGGUCUAUGGAGUCUUCCUAAAGGAUUUUCUAUGGUUUCCUUCUUACCCAACUCUGUAUGCAAGUCUUAGAUAUUUCAGUGGUUUCCUUUGGUAAAGGAGGAGAAAUUCCAGCUAACAUGGUUGUUAAAUGUUUGGCCUGCCUGGGAUUCUAGCUAACAUGAUUAUUUUUGUUUUCAUUACGAUAUAUUAAUAUGGUUUAAAGCUGCCUCUAUGGUCAGCUGUGAUAAAUAUCUCUUUAAAGAACUUUCUACUCAACGUGCACACCUAGUAGUACUAAAUGAUGGAGUUUUUUCGGGAUUCUAUUCUUUCUAUGUGAAACCUUUUAUAUGAAAACUGAGAAGGAUAUACUGUAAGAUCUACGUCAUAUAUGAUCUUCUACUUUUGUUGAUUCCAAGUAUUCCAAGUUUCCGUAUCUGUGCUAUUGCUAAUACAGAAAUCGAAGUCAGAAUUAAAAUCAUUAUUGGCAGUAGUAGUAGCAGCAAUAUCUUUGUGGCAAAGAUUAUGGGAAACGGAGAUUCUUGGACUUGUGGCUAAACUUGGAGCUUUAGAGAUCAUAUCAAUGGCCAUGGUUUUUGUUUUCUUGAUUCAAUUAUUGAAAGGACAUAAAAGAAAAAAAUCUAACGCGGUGGGAUAGUUGUGGUAAGAGGACAAGAUUCAAAUGUGAUGUGGGAACACUGCCUAACAGGGUCCUUGGGCUUUAUAUGUUAGCUAUUCGAAUUUCUACAAAAAUUCAAUUGACUUGGUCGUUGAAACCAAGUGAACCUCUCUCCCACUGUUAGUUGCAUGAUGUCGAUAUGUUCAUUAGAAGGAGUUGAGGCAUAGUCAUCCAACUCGUCAACAUAUAUUACGUCGUCUCACACUGCUGCUGUUGUGAUAACCAAAAGAAUCACAACAAGAUUCUCAAAUAUUGUUGAUUCUGUCAUGAGGUUCUUUUUCUUCUCAUCCAUUUCAUACUCAACUUGAUCUUCAAUUUCAUUAUUCUUGUUUUCAUCAGUAUCUAAACCAGUUGCUAAUGUUUCUUCACCAUUCGUUAUGGUCAAACAUGGCAAACUUAGAAGACUACAACUUCUUGUUGUAGUUUCUUUUUGUUUUACAACUACUAUUGUUGGUUCUGGAGUUUUUAUGUUCUUUUCUUUUUUCAUGGCAAUUUGUGCUAUGAGUAUUCUUAGACCGGAUUCUCUUGAAGGGUAAUAACUUUAUUUAUCCUCUUUAGUAGGUGGAGUAGAUCAAGAAAUGAAUGAUGAAGACAGUGAAGAACUAGACCUUACUUGAGAUGAAUUUUGAAUUGUUAUAGAUGAAUGUUCUAGGAAUAUUUUGUUAUCAACAUUUUUGAAACUUACUCUCUUGAAAUGUACUAAACUUAUGCACUUGGGGUAGAACAUUUGCUUUAAGGAUAUUAUUUGCUUGAUAGAUAAUUUUAUAUUAUUAAUAGUUUCAUUUUAUGAUGUAUUUAAAUUUUAGUGUUAUUAUAAUUUAUUAUAUAUAUAAAUAAUUAUUUA
rnacentral:lncRNA from 1 species